rnacentral:lncRNA from 1 species
AUGAGCACUAAAUUUUUCUUUCAAGCUCUAAUUGUUAUAUAUGACUACUAUAAAUAAGGUGAGAAUGGUGCUCUCUUAUAUUUAAGUAACAGAAAAAUUGGUGAUAAUGUUGUUUUUCUUAUUUUUAUAUCCUAGAAUGCAGAGUCAAUUGAGGUGUCAGUCUCUGCUCCCCUCACCCAAAUAAUAUCUGAGAUACUGCCUUUGACUUUAUAGUGGCACAAAUGCCUCAGAGACACAAAAUUCUAAAUUAAAAAGACUUAGGUAUGUUUCAGAAUAACAAUUUUCUACAUAUAUUUCACUCAUGAUAAUUCUUCCAAACUGAACAUAUGGUUAGAAUUUAUGCUGAGAUAAUAAUUAAGUUUUAUACCUGUCUAGUUAUUACUCAGUUAACAUAAAUAAAGCUUUAUUUUUCUAAAGUAAAGUUUCUUGCACAUUAUUAGUGAAUCAUGGAUUUAUUUAGGUAGAAAUAUCCAAGUUUUAUGAUGCGUAGCUUUUUUUUUCUUCCCCAGAGCAAAUCCACGUUUAUUAAGAAAGUAAAGUGGUGAAGAAGGGAAAGCUGUUUCAUAGACAGAGUAGGACAUUACUGAAAGUAAGAGGAAGAAUGCAUCCACCCUAGGAAUCAACAUUAUCUUCUUCUUCUGUGGAAGUAUCUUUAUUUGUUUCAAAGGCAAUUUUAUUCAUUUCUGUCUAAUGCUAUAUAAGGACCGUGAUGAUUCAUUAUCCAAUGCCAGAGUUCUCCUGCAGUCAAAGUAUUCUAAUGUCACGCUUUCGUAGCGAUUCCCCUGUUGUGUUUGAUGGUUGAGUACUGCAACUUGGCUCCUACACUUCAGGAUCUAAUUUCUCUCAUGGUAU